UCCCUGAGCCCCAGACAGCCCAUGAACUGCCUUCCUGGGAAUGGUGGGAUGGGCUGGACUCUGGAUUGCUCCCUCUGCAUGUGUGGCUCUCCCCUCAGGAACUGCAGGAACUCCUGGUGCCGCCUGGGCCGAUGGAUUGGACGCCCCAGCCCCUCCGUUCCUGCCCAGCCACUGGGGCCGUGUCGAGUGGUGGCACUGCCAGCCCUGCAGGGGAAGUGGGAAGGGCCUUUCCAGGUCUGGUGGAUCACAUUUAUUGCAGUGGGAUGGAGCCUGGAAACUGCACAGAGCUGAGCCAAGGGAUUUAAAGGGACCAACCAAGGGAGGUGAAGAAAGAA